rnacentral:rRNA from 1 species
CCUACGGAGGCAGCAGUGGGGAAUAUUGGACAAUGGGGGCAACCCUGAUCCAGCCAUGCCGCGUGUGUGAAGAAGGCCCUCGGGUUGUAAAGCACUUUCAGUGAGGAAGAACGCCUGGUGGUUAAUACCCAUCAGGAAAGACAUCACUCACAGAAGAAGCACCGGCUAACUCCGUGCCAGCAGCCGCGGUAAUACGGAGGGUGCGAGCGUUAAUCGGAAUUACUGGGCGUAAAGCGCGCGUAGGUGGCUUGAUAAGCCGGUUGUGAAAGCCCCGGGCUCAACCUGGGAACGGCAUCCGGAACUGUCAAGCUAGAGUGCAGGAGAGGAAGGUAGAAUUCCCGGUGUAGCGGUGAAAUGCGUAGAGAUCGGGAGGAAUACCAGUGGCGAAGGCGGCCUUCUGGACUGACACUGACACUGAGGUGCGAAAGCGUGGGUAGCAAACAGGAUUAGAUACCCGAGUAGUC